ensembl:lncRNA
AUGGACCUGAUAUGUGACAUGUGUGGAUGCAGCUGAUACAUGACACACAUGGAUGGACCUUACAGGUGACACGCACCAAUGCACCUGCUACGUGACAUGCAUGGAUGUACCUGAUAUGUGACACGUGUGGAUGUAGCUGAUACAUGACACGUGUGGAUGCACCUGAUAUGUGACAUGUGUGGAUGGACCUGAUGUGUGACAUGUGUGGAUUCAGCUGAUAUGUGACACGUGUGGAUGGACCUGAUACGUGACACGUGUGGAUGCAGCUGAUACAUGACACGUGUGGAUGGACCUGACACAUGACACGUGUGGAUGUAGCUGAUACAUGACACAUGUGGAUGCACCUGGUAUGUGACACAUGUGGAUGCACCUGCUAUGUGACAUGUGGAUGCACCUGAUAUGUGACACGUGUGAAUGUAGCUGAUACGUGACACGUGCAGAUGCACCUCAGAAGCCUGGCACCAAAGGCUGUGUGCUGUAUGGUUCCAUUCGUAUGAAAUGUCUGGAACAGACAAGUCCAAGAAAUAGAAAGUGAUUGCUUAGGGGCUGGGGAAGGAAAAAAUGGGGAGUGACUGCUUAGUGGGGCAUGGGGUUUCCAGUUGGAGUGAUGAGAAGGUUCUGGAACAAGAUGGUGGUCAUGGUCACAUAUUAUGAGUGUACUUAAUGCCACUGAAUUGUACACUUUAAAAUGAUAAAAAUGGUAAAUUUUAAAAAAUAAUUUUACUUUAAGUUUGGGGAUACAUGUGCAGAAUGUGCUGGUUUGUUACAUAGGUACACAUGUGCCAUGGUGGUUUGCUGGUUUGUUGGUUUGUUAUGUAGGUACACAUGCACCAUGGUGGUUUGCUGGUUGGUUACAUAGGAAUACAUGUGUCAUGGUGGUUUGCUGGUUUGUUGGUUUGUUAUGUAGGUAUACAUUUGCCAUAGUGGUUUGCUGGUUGGUUACUUAGGUACACGUGUGCCAUGGUGGUUUGCUGGUUUGCUGAUUUGUUAUGUAGGAACACGUGUGCCAUGGUGGUUUGCUGGUUGGUUACAUAGGUAUACGUGUGCCAUGGUGGUUUGCUGCACCUAUUGACCCAUCCUCUAAUUUCCCUCCUGCCGCUCCCCAGCCCCCAACAGGCCCUGGUGUGGGUUGUUCCCCUCUCUGUGUCCUUGUGUUUUCACUGUUCAAUUCCAGCUUAUGAGUGAAAGAUUUGGCGUUUGGUUUUCUGUGUUACGUGCAUUUUACAACAAUAAAAAAAAAGCCAAAGGAAAAAAUGUUUUUUUGUGUGUGUCAGUACCUUUGUACUUUGACAAAUAAAAAGUGUGGCUGGGCGCAGUGGCUCAUGCCUGUAAUCCCAGCACUUUGGUAGAUCAAGGCAGGUGGAUCACCUGAGGUCAAGAGUCUGGCCAACAUGGGGAGACCAGUCUGGCCAACAUGGGGAAAUCCCUUCUCUACUGAAAAUACAAAAAUGAGCCAGGCGUGGUGGCAUGCACCUUUAGUCCCAGCUACUCAGGAUACUGAGGCAGGAGAAUCACUUGAGCCUGGGAGGCAGAUGUUGCAGUGAGCCAAGAUCAUGCCACUGCACUCCAGCCUGGGCAACAGAGCGAGACUCUGUCUCAAAAAAAAAAAAAAGUGCAACAAAAGAGUAUUCCAGAACUGCAAAAACGUUGCUUCCCCUGGCCUCCUGAAUUCAGUGAGAGACAGUCUAACUUGAUUUGUAUAAGCAAUGAUUAAAACAAAAUCCUGGCCUGGCCAGGCGCUGUGGCUCACGCCUGUAAUCCCAGCACUUUGGGAGGCCAUGGCAGGCAGAUCACCUGAGGUCAGGAGUUUGAGACCAGCCUGGCCAAUGUGGUGAAACACAUCUCCACAAAAAAAACAAAAAUUAGCCAGGCAUCAUGGCAGGAUCCUGUAGUCCCAGCUAUUUCAUAGGCUGAGGCAGGAGAAACGCUUGAACCCAGGAGGCAGAGAUUGCAGUGAGCCGAGAUUGAGUCACUGCCUUCCAGUCUGGGUGACAGAGCAAGACUCCAUCUCAAAAAAAAAAAAAAAAAAAAAAA